CCAUCUCUCUCUCUCUCUCUCUCCCCCUCCCUAACAGAUAAAGUUUGGUAAUGGCGAGUGGGUGGUGGGCUCAGUGAACUAUGGGAGGAAGUAUGAGGUUCCUUUGGCUAUCAUCAUCCCAGCUAUCAUCGUCCCUAUGCUACUCUUCCUAGCUGUGUCCGUCUACUGCUACAGGAGGAAGCGCAAGCGGGCAGAGAGAGAGUAUGAGAAAGUAAAAAUCAAGUUGGAGAAUCUGCAGGAGAGCGUGGGAGACCGCUGGAAGGUGGAACUCACAGUGUGUGAGCCUACAUGUCAGCCCUGACGAAGGAAGCGAACAUGCCGUCUUCGUUCUCCAGAAGGGUCUCUGGUUUGUCGAUCUCCAAGAUGUUCCCUCGCUUCAUCACGAUCACCAGGUCAGCUUCCAGGAUGGUGUGGACACGAUGCUGCAUGAAGAACACACACACAGACGCACGCACACAGACAUUACAUUUGACUGAGUGUUGAAUUACACAAACAAAGAGGAAGGGAUUGUCACGUUCCUGACCUGUUUUCUGUUAGUUUUUGUAUGUGUUAGUUGGUCAGGACGUGAGUUUGGGUGGGCAGUCUAUGUUUUCUGUUUUUAUGUUGGUUUAAAGGGUGACCUGAUAUGGCUCUCAAUUAGAGGCAGGUGGUUUUCAUUUCCUCUGAUUGAGAGUCAUAUUAAGGUAGGUGUUUUCACACUGUUUGUUGUGGGUGGUUGUCUUCUGUGUCUGUGUAUGUUGCGCCACACAGGACUGUUUCGGUAUGUUUGUUUGUUCGGUUUUUGUGUUGUCUGUUUUCCCUGUUCGUGCGUUCUUCGUGUUACAUGUAAGUUCUUACGUUCAGGUCAGUCUACGUUCUUUUGUUAUUUUGUAAUCCUUCCAAGUGUUUGUUUUCGUGUUUCGUCGUUUGCUUUAAUAAAUCAUUAUGUAUUCACAA